CCUACGGGAGGCAGCAGUGAGGAAUAUUGCGCAAUGGGGGAAACCCUGACGCAGCGAUGCCGCGUGGGUGAAGAAGGCCUUCGGGUCGUAAAGCCCUGUCAGGCGGGAAGAAUAGGCCUUGGGUGAACAGCCUGGGGCUGUGACGGUACCGCCGAAGGAAGCACCGGCUAACUCCGUGCCAGCAGCCGCGGUAAGACGGAGGGUGCAAGCGGUAUUCGGAAUCAUUGGGCGUAAAGGGCGUGUAGGCGGCCGGUUUAGUCAGGCUUGAAAGCCCAGGGCUCAACCCUGGAAGUGCGCUUGAAACUGAUCGGCUUGAGUCCGGGAGAGGGAAGCGGAAUUCCUGGUGUAGAGGUGAAAUUCGUAGAUAUCAGGAGGAACACCGGUGGCGAAGGCGGCUUCCUGGACCGAGACUGACGCUGAGACGCGAAAGCGUGGG
rnacentral:rRNA from 1 species